AAGAGGAAGCGCAAAGCACAGUAUUCUGUUGCUGUGAAGAGGAAGGAGGCAGAACGGACGGAAAGAAAGAUGGCCGCCGUGGCAAGAGACCGGGCAUGGGUGGAGAGGCUGGCAGAGCUAAAACAGAUGGAGGCAGAAAAGAGAGCUGCAAUGGCUUGA
rnacentral:rRNA from 1 species